rnacentral:rRNA from 1 species
AAUAGAUACCCGGGUAGUCCACGCCGUAAACGGUGGGCACUAGGUGUGGGCAACAUUCCACGUUGUCCGUGCCGCAGCUAACGCAUUAAGUGCCCCGCCUGGGGAGUACGGCCGCAAGGCUAAAACUCAAAGGAAUUGACGGGGGCCCGCACAAGCGGCGGAGCAUGUGGCUUAAUUCGACGCAACGCGAAGAACCUUACCAAGGCUUGACAUACACCGGAAACGUCUGGAGACAGGCGCCCCCUUGUGGUCGGUGUACAGGUGGUGCAUAGCUGUCGUCAGCUCGUGUCGUGAGAUGUUGGGUUAAGUCCCGCAACGAGCGCAACCCUUGUCCCGUGUUGCCAGCAGGCCCUUGUGGUGCUGGGGACUCACGGGAGACCGCCGGGGUCAACUCGGAGGAAGGUGGGGACGACGUCAAGUCAUCAUGCCCCUUAUGUCUUGGGCUGCACACGUGCUACAAUGGCCGGUACAAUGAGCUGCGAUACCGCGAGGUGGAGCGAAUCUCAAAAAGCCGGUCUCAGUUCGGAUUGGGGU